AAAACUAUUGAAUCCAUUUUAGAAUAAGGCUGUAACGUAACAAAAUGUGGAAAAAGUCAAGGGGUCUGAACACUUUCCAAAGGCACUGUAUGUUGCAAUCAUGUUAGUUUGCAGAAAUGUGGGUGUGUAUAAUUUAGUUAUAGGCCAUAUUCCAGAAAGUCAAUUCAAAGAGUAACCAUAUUGAUCUGAACAUCAACCAAUGUCUACAGGACAGGGUUAGUAGUAUCGUUGGUGCCAUUUGGGAUGUAUUCUUUGUGAUUUAAUGUCUUCAUUCCCUUCUUGUUUUAGAUAUACUGUAGUAAGUUACCUGAUAGCUUCUCCUGCAGUGAGUUGUACUUCACCUUUUAUCGGUGGCAUUCUGUGGUUCUUCUGGACGUUAUACAACGUUUUACAGUGGUUCUUCUGGACGUUAUACAACGUUUUACAGUGGUUCUUCUGGACGUUAUACAACGUUUUACAGUGGUUCUUCUGGACGUUAUACAACGUUUUACAGUGGUUCUUCUGGACGUUAUACAACGUUUUACAGUGGUUCUUCUGGACGUUAUACAACGUUUUACACUGUAAAAGGUGGUGGAGGGAGAGCCACUGACAUUGAACUACAGGUAUAGUGAACCUGUACAAUUAACUUAGUUGUAAUUGUGUUGUAUGUGCAAUACCUGAAUAAUAGGUUUGUGUUUUUCCAUGUUAAAUCAUUACAGCCAAUGACCCUCUAAAAUGUCUCUGAUUCACUUUCAUCAGUUCUUUGUAUGAAUGACAUCCCAUGUAAAACUCAAACCUCAACUUGCAAUAUGUCACCUAAGAACACAUUGUAUCUUCACGUGACAUGAAUCAUUAAAAUGUAUAUUUUCAUACUUUUAAUUCAGGCAAAUCCGAGUAAUCAUGGUACUAUCAAGUGAAAAAGCUAGAGUCAAGAUCAUCAGUGAAUAUGGACCAGUGCCAUAGGUUCAACAGUAGAGGAACCUGUGCACAUGCAUGUGGACAUUUCUCUACAUUCUGUAACUACCUGGCCUCACUACCCGCUCGUGUACCCAACUUACUUUAGACUGAAUUCUCACAGGUGUCUCUCUUUUCUUUCAGUUUAAAAUUAUACUAUUUAUCAUUUUUCUUACAGCCAAAAUAAAGUAUUUACUACAGAAGUCA